rnacentral:rRNA from 1 species
UCUGUAGGUGGCUUGCUAAGUCAGACGUGAAAUCCCUCAGCUUAACUGGGGAACUGCGUCUGAUACUGGCAAGCUUGAGUGCAGGAGAGGAACGCGGAAUUCCAGGUGUAGCGGUGAAAUGCGUAGAUAUCUGGAGGAACACCGGUGGCGAAGGCGGCGUUCUGGACUGCAACUGACACUGAGAGACGAAGCCAGGGGAGCAAACG